rnacentral:rRNA from 1 species
AGUGAGAAUGCCGGAAUGAGUAGCGAGAAUUAUGUGAGAAUCAUAAUGGCCGAAAAUCUAAGGUUUCCUGAGGAAGGUUCGUCCGCUCAGGGUAAGCCGGGGGCUAAGGCGAGGCGGAGACGCGUAGCCGAUGCACAUACGGUUGAAAUUCCGUAGCCACCGAAAGAUUUAAGUACAGGGACGCUUUAGAAGUGAUGUAGCCGGGCGAUGGUUGACCCGGUCGUAAGGGAUCGAAAAUGAGUAGAGAAGUCAUCAUGGAAAGAGACAAGAAAAGCUGUAUGAAUAUCUUAGGUGCCCGUACCGCAAACCGACACAGGUAGAUAGGAAGAAGAUUCUAAGGCCAACGGGAGAAGGGUUGUUAAGGAACUCGGCAAGUUGACCCCGUAACUUAGGGAUAAGGGGUGCUCAAGUGAUUGAGCCGCAGAGAAUAGGCCCAGGCGACUGUUUAGCAAAAACACAGGUCUCUGCUAAAUCGAAAGAUGACGUAUAGGGGCUGACACCUGCCCGGUGCCGGAAGGUUAAGAGGAGAUGUGAGAGCAUUGAAUUGAAGCCCCGGUAAACGGCGGCCGUAACUAUAACGGUCCUAAGGUAGCGAAAUUCCUUGUCAGGUAAGUUCUGACCCGCACGAAAGGUGUAACGAUCUGGGCACUGUCUCAACAACCCGCCCGGCGAAAUUGUAGUACCGGUGAAGAUGCCGGUUACCCGCGACUAGACGGAAAGACCCCAUGGAGCUUUACUGUAGCCUAAUAUUGGAUUUCGGUAUUUCACGUACAGGAUAGGUGGGAGACUGGGAAGCACAGGCGUCAGCUUGUGUGGAGUCGACCUUGGGAUACCACUCUUGGAGUGCUGGAAUUCUAACCUGCGGCUUUGAAGCAAGUCGGGGGACAUUGUUAGGUGGGCAGUUUGACUGGGGCGGUCGCCUCCUAAAGAGUAACGGAGGCGCUCAAAGGUUCGCUCUGCAUGGAUGGAAACCAUGCGUCAGAGUGUAAACGCAAAAGCGAGCCUAACUGCGAGAAUGACGGUUCGAGCAGUAACGAAAGUUGGAGUUAGUGAUCCGGCGGUAUGUGAAUGGAAAUGCC